CUGUAGAUGAUGGGUACAGCAUGCCUAGGUCCUUAAGCAAUGAGAUAUUGCCUGUUUUAGCCAGGGCGUUAGCAAGCAUUAAUUGCUCUGAACAGCCACACCUGGGGUCCCUAUCCACAUCCUCUGCCCUUGGGCCCUAGAGCCCCAUUUCAGCUCAGCCCACCACCUUCAAUUCUCAUCCUGAGCUGUGUUGUAGAUGCGUUUGUUUUUUUGCUGUGUCUUCUGGCUGGACCUUUGUCAUCUGCUGUGGACAUGCAGCUGACAACUCCUGUGUCCUGUGUGCACCUGGAUCAAGUGCUGUCACUCUUGCUGAGGGAAAACAAAGCACAUUUACACUGACAUAAACUGAGAAGUAUGACAACGCUUGAGAUUUAGCUUUCGUCUUGUUUUCCUGUGUUUUGGAGCCUGGAAGUGAGGCCUCCAUAGGUAUUACAACUGGGACAGGAGCAUGCAAUGAAGUGUGUUGCCUUUCCUUACUCUAUUCGCUUUUCAGCAUAGCUGACCAAGCUAUGAAAUGUGGAAAUCUGCUGCAUUUUUCCAUCAACGAUGCGAAUACUCCUUCUCUCUCAAAUACUACUUGAUGCAAAACAAGAGGGCACAGGGAAC